GCCCCCCGGCUCCCGAAAUAGGAAGCCCGGGGCGAGCGCUCGCUCACGGGGGCUGGGCGCCCAUCCCCCACCCGCCCAGGGGGGAGGGGCCCGGCCGGUGGCGCCGGGCUCGCCUGCGUCAGCGCCGGUGCCCGGCCGCGGAGUCCCAUGCCCGAGCUGGCAACAUCUGCUCCUUCCCCUGGCUUGGGGCGCUCUCCGGAAUCUGAGCAGGAAGCGACUGGGGCCCGGCCGCGAGCUAAUGCGCACGCCACCGACACUACCACCUGCGUCCCUGCGGCCGAGAUGAGACUAGAGGAGAGGGAAGCUCGCCCUUGGGUUGGUGACCCCCGCGGGGAAAGCUGUGGCUGACUCUGUGGCACGGGCGUCUUUGCCCUUAAUUCAUAGGAGUGAACAAUGGGAGCUCAGCUCGGAGGAACCCGUUCAUGAAUCCAGCAGCUAUUAAAACACUUGGUUUGUGCUGGGAACUGCUGUGGAGAGAGACAACGGGAAACAGGCCCAUGUGGUGGAGAGCUGCAGCUGGGUUGACAAUUGCUGGUGGAAAGAUGUGUGUCCCCAUCCUAACUUCACUGGGUAUUAGGCUGUGGCCUUCAGCAAUGCACUGAAGUCACUUGUCGUUUCAGUUUUGUCUUUGAAGUAGAGCAACCACAGCCUGGGAGGAUGGAGAAGAGGAGCGAUGAGUAACCAGGAGUGACCAAUGAGAUGCGCCGGCACACCGGAUGAUCCAUGGGGCCAUGGGGAGGGGAAAGGGAGGCCUGCUCAGCAUCUCCAGCUCUUUCCUGGACCCUCCCUUGCCAUCUGGGUGCCUCCAUUAAGGACUGUGCUGCUGGCCUGGGAAAGGUUUGGAGGUGGAGCCAAAGAAGCAGAGCUAGAGGGCCCACUGACGCGGGCAUGUGGAGACCCUCCUUUUGCCCCUCCGGGAUCUAAGUCAGUGGAUGCUGACCAUCUUCACCUUGCUCCUUGCCACCUCUAAUACCUGCAACUGGGACUUUUUCUCUUUUUCUGGUAAUGGUAGAGCUCUCAGUCUCUGCCUACCAUGGAAUCGUGGGGUUUUGAUAACCCUUUGUUCCACACCCUCCGUGCUUCUCCCUUGGUACAUGGAAUAUCAGAAGCAUUCUGCUUAGAAAGAGGCCUCUUUCAAGCAGGGCACUGUGGUGGCACCCUCAUCUAAUCCCAGAUACUCGGAGACUAAGGCAAGUUUCCUCCCCAGGACAGUUGAAUGAGCCAAGUCCUUUUGAGACCCUGAGUCAAAAGGAAGGUUCCAAGUGUUUGGUUAACUUUUUCUGAGGUCAUGGAGUAGACAUUAGAUACUGCAGAUAAGUUCCCUCCUCCCUCCCUUUCUGUCCCUUUAAAUAACCUGUCCACCAUACUACUCUUAAUUGCACUCCCCCUGAGGCCAGGCCCUAUGCUGGGCUUGGGGGAUCUGGUAAACAGGAAAGCUGCGGCCCUGCCCCCGUCACAGUUUAGAGGGACUGCAGCCACAGGGGGUGGAGGCAAGUGUUCCUUCUGCCACUAGGAAAUCUGCUUCCUUGUUCUCCAAAUUCUGCCAGGUGAGAACUGGACUUCUGGAUGCCUAUUGUAACCUGUGUCUCAAAGGCAGCUUUCUUUGGGGACAGACCUGUUUCCAGGAAAUCAGCCUCAGGAGUCGCUGUGGGGUGGGUCUGAGAGGACAAACGACGCCAGCACCCACAGGUGUACUCAACACUGGUUCGCUUCUGAGAAACAGCUGCCCCAGGCAGGCAGCCUGCUCCCUAGAAGGGGACAAAGGCCCUGCAGCCCCAGGGGGAGGGGCCGCUCAGGAGCUGGGAGGGGCCACCUUCCCGGAACCAGCGGUUUUAUUUCUUUUUCCAGUGCUGGGGAUUGAACCCAGGGCCUUGCCUGUGCUGGGCAAGCACUUACCACUGAGCUACCCCCAGCCCUAACCAGCUGCUCUGUCUGUUACUGACAGAAUAAAGCCCAGCCUCUUUAGCCUGG